rnacentral:lncRNA from 10 species
GUUUUAAGAUGAGUUUCACUCUUGUUGCCUAGGCUGGAGUGCAAUGGCGUGAUCUCGGCUCACUGCAACCUCCGCCUCCUGGGUUCAAGUGAUGCUCGUGACUCAGCCUCCCAAGUAGCUGGGAUUACAGUUGCCCACCACAAUGCCCAGGUAAUUUUUUGUAUUUUUAGUAGAGAUGGGGUUUCACCAUGUUGGCCAGGCUGGUCUCGAACUCCUAACCUCAAGUGUUCCACCGCCUCGGCCUCCCAAAGUGCUGCAAUUACAGGCGUGAGCCACUGCACCUGGCUGAGGUUGAGUUCUUGAUUUCUCAGCUUGACUGCUAUUGGUGUAUAGCAAUGCUACUGAUUUGUAUACAUUGAUUUUGUAUCCUGAAACUUUAAUAAAUUCAUUUAUCAGUUCUAGCAGGGGUCCCACUUUUGAUGACAUCUGUUAAAAGAGAAAACUUUAAACAAAAAGAAAAAAAAUGUAGACAAAUCAAAUUUAACAGAGUUUAAUUCAACAAAGAACAAUUUGUGAAUUUGGCAGCCCCCCACAUCAGAAUAUGUUCAGAGAGACUCCAGUGUUGCCAUGUGAUUGGAGAGUAUUUACAGACAGAAAAAAUGUGACCUACAGAAAAACAACUGGAUUGGUUACAUCUUGGCAUUUGCCUUACUUAAAAUCGGUUUGAACAGUUGGCUGCCUUUGAUUUGCAGAAACUUGGUAAUGGUACAAGAAUAGGUUGCAGUCUCUUUACACAUCCAGUUAGGUUACAGUUCAUCACUUGCAGAGAAACCUUUAGGGUGAAUUUAAAAUAUGAAAGGAGGCACCUUUAGGCUAAACUUAAUUUAACAUGGCAUUUAAGAAAUUACUUCAGCUGAUUUCUAGGAGCAGGAAUUUAAAGGGCUAGGUGUGGAGGAGGAAGGAGGAAAUUCACCAAGUGAAGCCAGAUUCUGAGUUCAUAUCUCUGGUUGGCUCUAAAAAGAUUUUAAACUCUUCUUUUUAGCUGAUCAUCACACUGGCUUCAGUUGCUGAAGGGAGGUCCCAUUCACAGAGUUCUCACAGCCUUCAUGGUUCUCAGAGAGGUCCAGGAUGAAGUGCACAGGGCUUUUUUGCAUGGUCAGGCUUGCACAGUGGCCAGAUUGGUUUGGUAACAUGUUUACUUUAAUUGUAGGUAGCAGUGCUCAUGUUUAUCUUCUUCUCCAGACUGAAGCUUGUGAAGAUCGCUCCAAUGUCUCACACAAUUUUAAAUGCCCCCAGCAAAGCUUAGCACGGGGCUCUAUUCACAGUGAACUGCAUAAUUGCUGUUUCUUUUUUGCAUGAGACAGAUUCAAUUAACAGCACUGUCACAUAGCUCCAGAAGGUUGCUGUGAAGUUGGGCCCGUUUGCUAGGAUAGAGGAAGUUUCAAUGGGGUGAAAAGGAGAUGAUAGCAGCAAGACCUGGCAGGCACACAGCAAGGCGAGGGCCCUGGGUACUGAGGGGAAAGCACGGGCAGCACUAGCUGCCUCUGUGUCACUAGUUUGGCAUCCUUGGCUCUGGAUCCCUGGUGGAGCUAGAGUCAUUAGGAUGACAAUAGCUCCUAUUAGUGUGGACAGGAAUUUUAGGAAUUUUGGCAAUGGCAACAGUGAGGAAUGCGCAUUUGACUUUUUAUGAAACCUCUAUACAGAAGAACUGACCAAUACAGAGUGUAAACUGGCCAGCAAGCUCUAGCACAGUGCUUUGAUAAACAUUUUAGUCCUUUGAGUUACAAAUUUUUCUAAGGUGUGUUACAUAUUUU